UUUAUAGUUCCCAUUUUAAAAGACCGCUUUAUUUGCCAAUCACCUGAAGGUGUGUAAGGUCCCGUCCCUAAUACAAAAGUUUAUUGAAAGCUUUUAUUGUGAAAAUAAUGAAAUAGUAACUACACAACGUUUGAAAUAGUUCCGAUUGAUUCAUAAGCAAUCUACACAUGGAGUCAAAAUCAAAUAUUCUAGCUAUUGGAGCGGAGACCGAAGAACCUUUGGACAAAGCAUCGAGAUUAAAAAUUCAGAAACGUAAUUUCUACUUACAGUUUACGAAACGUUUGCAAAAACUGCUUCUGGGUGGAUCUCGUCCCCUGAAAGAAGACCCCGAUGAGGAUGCAGUGGAAAGGUUUUGCGCCACAAGCACUCGCAGAACUGGGACCCAGUACUACGAGUUCAGGCCAGACGACUAUACAAAGGGCAUUGUUCUAUCUGGGCCAGCAUUCGAUCCCAAAGGCCUUAUUUUAAUAGUCAAGGAGAUGAUCAGCAAAGAACACUGGAUAAACGAAAGUGUGAUUAAGUAUCACAAUAAUUCUAUAUGUGAGAUACAGGAACUGGUUUCGGACGCCUUAGUGGAGGAGGACCGAAGAAUAUAUAACUACUUGUUAUAUUUGCAAGCAAACCGAUACAAUCAAUGUAAAUAAAAAAUGAAGCACUAUAUCAAGUCCACCCUAAAAAAAUUGUGAUUUACCAUUCUCAAAAGUUUAUUAACAAAAACAAACCAUCACUAAUGUUGUGCUUUGAUCUGAGCUUUCGUUGAGUUAAAUUUAUUUUAUUAGUAAGUCAUAAAACAUCUAUGUACUCUAUAUUUAAUUUCGAUCAGAACUGAAAAUGUCGUCGAAAUCUAAUAUUUUGAGUAUAGCAACAGAGGCUAGUGAAAUUGAGGAAAGAAAACCGAUCUUAAAGAACAACAGAGCCUCUUUUGAAGAAGAUUUUAAAGAGCACCUGCAGAAAAUUCUUUUGAAUGGAGCUAAACCGCUGCUUAGUAAUCAGUCUGUAAAAAAAUUCUCAGUAAAUGAGUUUAGGAAAAAUGGCCACCAGUUCUACGAGUUUGUAUCGGAGCCCAAAUACAAUAAGUGGCUUACAGUCGGACCAUCAUUCGAGCCCAAGGGUGUCCUUGAACGUGUUAAGGAUCGAAUAAGCAAGGACCACUGGAUUGCUGAUAACGUGGCGAAGUACAAAAAGGAUUCCAGAGACUUUAUACAAACAACUGUUAGGGAUGCCCUACAUGAGGAACAAAUAGAAAUCUAUCGGUAUCUGUGUUAUCUAAAAGAAAAUGUUAAUAAAAAAUGAAAUGCUAUAUAUAAUA